CGGCGGGGCCCCCUCACAGCCAGCGGCCGGGCCCCGCCACCCCGCCGCCCUCCAUGCUGGAGGGACCCGCCCGCCCGGGCCGCAGCUGAGGGGAGCGGUGCCGGGGUGCGGGGGGGGCGCCCGAGCGGACCCCGCUGCCCCGGGCGGGGCGGCCCGGCCCUCACGGCAAGUUUAAAGAGGCGGCGGCCCCUCCUCCGCCCGCGGCCGCCCAGCCGAGCCUGGGUGCGCCUCUGGGAGCCGCCCUGAGCUGCCCGGCCCCGCCGCUGUAGGGAAGCAGACACAGCUGAAGAGACACUCGACGGCCACCCCCGGUCCCGGCUUUAUAGUGCACUCCUGUCACAGCUCCUUCCUCUGUAGGGAUCUGCCCCCCGGCACCCACAGGCGGCUGGGCAGCCACGGUCCUUGUGGGGAAGCCAGACGUGUUCUUGCUUUCCAGAUAAUCCAGAGCAGAACCACUGAGGAUCUUUGGAUGAAGCAAUGCUUUGACCCUCUGGAGAAACUGCUUCCCUCUAGGGAUGAAGAGUGCGAGAAAGGCAAACUUUAGUUUCUGGCACAGUUGUUUUGGAGAACUGGCAGAGAUGCUGCAAAGGUUUGUUCAGCAUUGGAAUAAAUCAGAGAGCCUCUGGAGUCUUCCCUGAAACAAGGUAGUUUAUAUUGUUGUUUUUUUGGUUUUCAUUUGCUGGGAUAUUUUUAAAAAAGUCUAUGAUCUCUGGA
rnacentral:lncRNA from 13 species